GUUGUAUGGUUAAGUGACUAAGCGUACAUGGUGGAUGCUUGGCAGUCAGAGGCGAUGAAGGACGUACUAACCUGCGAUAAGCUGUGAGAAGUCGGUAAGAGACGCUAUUACUCACAGAUUUCCGAAUGGGGAAACC
rnacentral:rRNA from 1 species